rnacentral:rRNA from 1 species
AUUGAACGCUGGCGGCAUGCCUUACACAUGCAAGUCGAACGGUAACGCGGGGCAACCUGGCGACGAGUGGCGAACGGGUGAGUAAUGCAUCGGAACGUGCCCAGUAGUGGGGGAUAGCCCGGCGAAAGCCGGAUUAAUACCGCAUACGACCUACGGGUGAAAGGGGGGGAUCGCAAGACCUCUCGCUAUUGGAGCGGCCGAUGUCAGAUUAGGUAGUUGGUGGGGUAAAGGCCUACCAAGCCUACGAUCUGUAGCUGGUCUGAGAGGACGACCAGCCACACUGGGACUGAGACACGGCCCAGACUCCUACGGGAGGCAGCAGUGGGGGAAUUUUUGGACAAUGGGCGCAAGCCUGAUCCAGCCAUGCCGCGUGCGGGAAGAAGGCCUUCGGUU